rnacentral:rRNA from 1 species
GGCGGCAUGCCUUACACAUGCAAGUCGAACGGCAGCGCGUCCUUCGGGAUGGCGGCGAGUGGCGAACGGGUGAGUAAUACAUCGGAACGUGCCCGAGAGUGGGGGAUAACGCAGCGAAAGCUGUGCUAAUACCGCAUACGAUCUCAGGAUGAAAGCAGGGGACCGCAAGGCCUUGCGCUCACGGAGCGGCCGAUGGCAGAUUAGGUAGUUGGUGGGAUAAAAGCUUACCAAGCCGACGAUCUUUAGCUGUUCUGAGAGGAAGAUCAGCCACACUGGGACUGGGACACGGCCCAGACUCCUACGGGAGGCAGCAGUGGGGAAUAUUGGACAAUGGGCGCAAGCCUGAUCCAGCCAUGCCGCGUGAGUGAUGAAGGCCUUAGGGUUGUAAAGCUCUUUUACCAGGGAAGAUAAUGACGGUACCUGGAGAAUAAGCCCCGGCUAACUUCGUGCCAGCAGCCGCGGUAAUACGAAGGGGGCUAGCGUUGCUCGGAAUCACUGGGCGUAAAGCGCACGUAGGUGGGUCGUUAAGUCGGGGGUGAAAUCCUGGAGCUCAACUCCAGAACUGCCUUCGAUACUGGCGAUCUUGGAGCCCGGGAGAGGUGAGUGGAACUGCGAGUGUAGAGGUGAAAUUCGUAGAUAUUCGCAAGAACACCAGUGGCGAAGGCGGCUCACUGGCCCGGUACUGACACUGAGGUGCG